UAAAUUGUAGCCAAAUGUUAGGCGCUUAGCUGUUAACUAAGAGUAAGUGGGAUAAAUACCCUCCAAUUUAG
rnacentral:tRNA from 1 species